rnacentral:rRNA from 1 species
GUACACUCCUACGGGAGGCAGAAGUGGGGAAUAUUGCACAAUGGGCGCAAGCCUGAUGCAGCGACGCCGCGUGGGGGAUGAAGGCCUUCGGGUUGUAAACUCCUUUCGCUAGGGACGAAGCUUUUUUGUGACGGUACCUAGAUAAGAAGCACCGGCUAACUACGUGCCAGCAGCCGCGGUAAUACGUAGGGUGCGAGCGUUGUCCGGAAUUACUGGGCGUAAAGGGCUCGUAGGUGGUUUGUCGCGUCGUCUGUGAAAUUCUGGGGCUUAACUCCGGGCGUGCAGGCGAUACGGGCAUAACUUGAGUGCUGUAGGGGUAACUGGAAUUCCUGGUGUAGCGGUGAAAUGCGCAGAUAUCAGGAGGAACACCGAUGGCGAAGGCAGGUUACUGGGCAGUUACUGACGCUGAGGAGCGAAAGCAUGGGUAGCGAACAGGAUUAGAAACCCCUGUAGUCCCAUG